rnacentral:rRNA from 1 species
GCGAGACCUUCGGGUCUAGCGGCGAACGGGUGAGUAACACGUGGGCAACCUGCCCCUGACUUCGGGAUAACUCCGGGAAACCGGGGCUAAUACCGGAUACGACCCUCCGAGGCAUCUCGGUGGGUGGAAAGAUUUAUCGGUCAGGGAUGGGCCCGCGGCCUAUCAGCUUGUUGGUGGGGUCAAGGCCCACCAAGGCGACGACGGGUAGCCGGCCUGAGAGGGCGACCGGCCACACUGGGACUGAGACACGGCCCAGACUCCUACGGGAGGCAGCAGUGGGGAAUAUUGCGCAGUGGGCGAAAGCCUGACGCAGCGACGCCGCGUGAGGGAUGACGGCCUUCGGG